rnacentral:rRNA from 1 species
GAUGAACGCUGGCGGCGUGCCUAAUACAUGCAAGUCGAGCGAACGGACGAGAAGCUUGCUUUUCUGAUGUUAGCGGCGGACGGGUGAGUAACACGUGGAUAACCUACCUAUAAGACUGGGAUAACUUCGGGAAACCGGAGCUAAUACCGGAUAAUAUUUUGAACCGCAUGGUUCAAAAGUGAAAGACGGUCUUGCUGUCACUUAUAGAUGGAUCCGCGCUGCAUUAGCUAGUUGGUAAGGUAACGGCUUACCAAGGCAACGAUGCAUAGCCGACCUGAGAGGGGGAUCGGCCACACUGGAACUGAGACACGGUCCAGACGACUACGGGAGGCAGCAGUAGGGAAUCUUCCGCAAAGGGCGGAAGCAUGACGGAGCAACGCCGCGUGAGUGAUGAAGGUCUUCGGAUCGUAAAACUCUGUUAUUAGGGAAGAACAUAUGUGUAAGUAACUGUGCACAUCUUGACGGUACCUAAUCAGAAAGCCACGGCUAACUACGUG